AUGCGGCGCGCCGUGGAGCUCGGCGCCAAAAGAACGGAGGCGCAGCGGCCUCUGUUCAUGGCCAACAAGGCCAGCGACACCCCGCUGCACCAGGUUGUGCAACACGGCAGGAGGGCCAGGCGCAGGAGACCAGCCUCCGCGGCGACGUGCCCGCUGGCGCCAGGCGCAGGAGCAAGACGACGUCGACGCGGUGGGGGUGUCCCCAGGGCCUCCCUCGCGCAGGAGCUGCACGACCCAGAGCACCUCUUCACCCAACAUUUCGUCGCCAACGGCCGCGUGCUCGCCCAAGCCGACGGCCUCAUGGUUAACUCCUUCAACGCGUUGUAG
rnacentral:rRNA from 1 species